rnacentral:rRNA from 1 species
AACGAACGCUGGCGGCAUGCCUAACACAUGCAAGUCGAACGAAGGCUUCGGCCUUAGUGGCGCACGGGUGAGUAACGCGUAGGAAACUGCCUAUUGGUGGGGAAUAACGACGGGAAACUGUCGCUAAUACCGCAUAAGCCCUUCGGGGGAAAGAUUUAUCGCCGAUAGAUGUGCCCGCGUCCGAUUAGCUAGUUGGUGAGGUAAUGGCUCACCAAGGCGACGAUCGGUGGCCGGUCUGAGAGGAUGAUCAGCCACACUGGGACGGGGACACGGCCCAGACUCCUACGGGAGGCAGCAGUGGGGAAUAUUGGAAAAUGGGCGAAAGCCUGAUCCAGCAAUGCCGCGUGAGUGAUGAAGGCCUUAGGGUUGUAAAGCUCUUUCGGGUGGGACGAUGAUGACGGUACCACCAGAAGAAGCCCCGGCUAACUUCGUGCCAGCCGCCGCCGUAA